AUUGAACGCUGGCGGCAUGCCUUACACAUGCAAGUCGAACGGUAACAGGUCUUCGGAUGCUGACGAGUGGCGAACGGGUGAGUAAUACAUCGGAACGUGCCCGAUCGUGGGGGAUAACGCAGCGAAAGCUGUGCUAAUACCGCAUACGAUCUACGGAUGAAAGCGGGGGAUCGCAAGACCUCGCGCGGACGGAGCGGCCGAUGGCAGAUUAGGUAGUUGGUGGGAUAAAAGCUUACCAAGCCGACGAUCUGUAGCUGGUCUGAGAGGACGACCAGCCACACUGGGACUGAGACACGGCCCAGACUCCUACGGGAGGCAGCAGUGGGGAAUUUUGGACAAUGGGCGCAAGCCUGAUCCAGCCAUGCCGCGUGCAGGAUGAAGGCCUUCGGUUGUAAACUGCUUUGUACGGAACGAAAAGACUCUCUCUAAUACAGGGGUGGAAUGACGGUACCGUAAGAAUAAGCACCGGCUAACUACGUGCCAGC
rnacentral:rRNA from 1 species